rnacentral:rRNA from 1 species
GUACACUCCUGCGGGAGGCAGCAGUGGGGAAUAUUGGACAAUGGGCGCAAGCCUGAUCCAGCCAUGCCGCGUGAGUGAUGAAGGCCCUAGGGUUGUAAAGCUCUUUCACCGGUGAAGAUAAUGACGGUAACCGGAGAAGAAGCCCCGGCUAACUUCGUGCCAGCAGCCGCGGUAAUACGAAGGGGGCUAGCGUUGUUCGGAUUUACUGGGCGUAAAGCGCACGUAGGCGGACUAUUAAGUCAGGGGUGAAAUCCCGGGGCUCAACCCCGGAACUGCCUUUGAUACUGGUAGUCUUGAGUUCGAGAGAGGUGAGUGGAAUUCCGAGUGUAGAGGUGAAAUUCGUAGAUAUUCGGAGGAACACCAGUGGCGAAGGCGGCUCACUGGCUCGAUACUGACGCUGAGGUGCGAAAGCGUGGGGAGCAAACAGGAUUAGAAACCCGUGUAGUCCCAU